rnacentral:rRNA from 1 species
CACAUGCAAGUCAGGGGCAGCACAGGAGCAAUCUGAGGUGGCGACCGGCGCACGGGUGAGUAACACGUAUGCAACCUGCCUGUAAGCGGGGAAUAACCCGUUGAAAGACGGACUAAUACCGCAUAAUACUAAAUUACUGCAUGGUAAUUUAUUUAAACAUUUAUGGCUUACAGAUGGGCAUGCGCAUGAUUAGCUAGUUGGAGAGGUAACGGCUCCCCAAGGCAACGAUCAUUAGGGGUUCUGAGAGGAAGGUCCCCCCACACUGGUACUGAGACACGGACCAGACUCCUACGGGAGGCAGCAGUGAGGAGUAUUGGUCAAUGGACGAGAGUCUGAACCAGCCAAGUCGCGUGCAGGAAGAAUUGUCCUAUGGAUUGUAAACUGCUUUUGCAGGGGAAUAAAGUGCAUCACGUGUGAUGUUUUGUAUGUACUCUGCGAAUAAGGAUCGGCUAACUCCGUGCCAGCCGCCGC